CAGCCGCCGCGGUAAUACGUAGGUGGCAAGCGUUGUCCGGAAUUAUUGGGCGUAAAGCGCGCGCAGGUGGUUUAAUAAGUCUGAUGUGAAAGCCCACGGCUCAACCGUGGAGGGUCAUUGGAAACUGGUUGACUUGAGUGCAGAAGAGGAGAGUGGAAUUCCAUGUGUAGCGGUGAAAUGCGUAGAUAUAUGGAGGAACACCAGUGGCGAAGGCGACUCUCUGGUCUGUAACUGACGCUGAGGCUCGAAAGCGUGGGUAGCAAACGGGAUUAGAUACCCGGGUAGUCCCUGUCUCUUAUAU
rnacentral:rRNA from 1 species